rnacentral:rRNA from 1 species
CCUACGGGUGGCAGCAGUGGGGAAUAUUGGACAAUGGGCGAAAGCCUGAUCCAGCCAUGCCGCGUGUGUGAAGAAGGCCUUCGGGUUGUAAAGCACUUUCAGUGGGGAAGAAAGCCUUGGGGCUAAUACCCUCGAGGAAGGACAUCACCCACAGAAGAAGCACCGGCUAACUCCGUGCCAGCAGCCGUGGUAAUACGGAGGGUGCGAGCGUUAAUCGGAAUUACUGGGCGUAAAGCGCGCGUAGGCGGUCUGAUAAGCCGGUUGUGAAAGCCCCGGGCUCAACCUGGGAACGGCAUCCGGAACUGUCAGGCUAGAGUGCAGGAGAGGAAGGUAGAAGUCCCGGUGUAGCGGUGAAAUGCGUAGAGAUCGGGAGGAAUACCAGUGGCGAAGGCGGCCUUCUGGACUGACACUGACGCUGAGGUGCGAAAGCGUGGGUAGCAAACAGGAUUAGAUACCCCUGUAGUC